GAGAUAAACAGCAGGUGACUGCGCGGGCAAGCCGCAAGCACCGGUAGAACCACUGGUGCAUUUCCGAACGGUCGCUUCUGAACCGAAGUAGGUAGCGAUGUCACGAUGCCAUUGGAAUACGAAACGGUGUUUGUUGAACUAACCUGCAACAAAAAGGAAAGAAGAACAUUGAGUACUUGCAUACAAUACGCUUAUGAGGAGAAACGUUACCAGUUCGCUAGAGAAGAACAAUAACCAUCGGCGAAGGUCGGCUACGGCACAGGUAACUGCAUCUUAAGAAGAAAGGGAAAACGCAUUUCCUUCCGAAUUCAAAUUCAAAUUAUCUUUAUUCAAAUAGACUUGUUAAUAAGCACUUUUAAAUCGUCAUUCCCUUUUAAAUCUUUGUUAACAUUAUGUGUAUUUAUUUAAAUGUACAACUAUACUUUUUCUUAAUAUUAAAACGUAAUUCAAUAA